rnacentral:rRNA from 1 species
CCUACGGGGUGCAGCAGUGGGGAAUAUUGCACAAUGGGCGAAAGCCUGACGCAGCGACGCCGCGUGAGUGAUGAAGGUCUUCGGAUCGUAAACCUCUGUCAGCAGGGAAGAACAGUCACUGUGCUAAUCAGCAGUGAAUUGACGAUACCUGCAAAGGAAGCACCGGCGAACUCCGUGCCAGCAGCCGCGGUAAUACGGAGGGGGCGAGCGUUAGUGGGAAUUACUGGGAGGAAAGCGCUCGUAGGCGGUAUGUCAAGUCAAGGGUGAAAUCCCCGGGCUCAAUGUGGGAACUGCUUUUGAAACUGGCAAACUGGAGUGUGUGAGAGGAGAGUGGAAUUCCAGGUGUAGGAGUGAAAUCCGUAGAUAUCUGGAGGAACAUCAGUGGCGAAGGCGACUAUCUGGAAUAUAACUGACGUUGAGGCGCGAAAGCGUGGGUAGCAAACAGGAUUAGAUACCCUGGUAGUC